rnacentral:rRNA from 1 species
AGCGAACGCUGGCGGCAGGCCUAACACAUGCAAGUCGAACGAACUCUUCGGAGUUAGUGGCGGACGGGUGAGUAACACGUGGGAACAUGCCUUUUGGUUCGGAAUAACUCAGGGAAACUUGUGCUAAUACCGAAUGCGCCCUUCGGGGGAAAGAUUUAUCGCCAUUAGAGCGGCCCGCGUCUGAUUAGCUAGUUGGUGAGGUAACGGCUCACCAAGGCGACGAUCAGUAGCUGGUCUGAGAGGAUGACCAGCCACACUGGGACUGAGACACGGCCCAGACUCCUACGGGAGGCAGCAGUGGGGAAUCUUGCGCAAUGGGCGAAAGCCUGACGCAGCCAUGCCGCGUGAAUGAUGAAGGUCUUAGGAUUGUAAAAUUCUUUCACCGGGGACGAUAAUGACGGUACCCGGAGAAGAAGCCCCGGCUAACUUCGUG